UGGGGAAUAUUGCACAAUGGGGGAAACCCUGAUGCAGCGACGCCGCGUGAACGAAGAAGGUAUUCGUAUCGUAAAGUUCUGUCCUAUGGAAAGAUAAUGACAGUACCAUAGAAGAAAGCUCCGGCUAAAUACGUGCCAGCAGCCGCGGUAAUACGUAUGGAGCGAGCGUUGUCCGGAAUUAUUGGGCGUAAAGGGUACGCAGGCGGUUGAAUAAGUCGAAUGUUAAAGAUCGGGGCUCAACCCCGCAAAGCAUUGGAAACUGAUAAACUUGAGUAGUGGAGAGGAAAGUGGAAGUCCUAGUGUAGUGGUGAAAUACGUAGAUAUUAGGAGGAAUACCAGUAGCGAAGGCGACUUUCUGGACACAAACUGACGCUGAGGUACGAAAGCGUGGGGAGCAAACAGG
rnacentral:rRNA from 1 species